rnacentral:lncRNA from 1 species
CAACAACCACAAUGACCCUCUCUGCUACAGAUGAGGGAUCUUCUUUUGAGUCAGAUUAUCAGGAAGAGGAUCCUGGCCUUGCCCCCCUGUCCUCACUUUCAUCGGAAGAUGGAUGGCUCCCUGAGUUUGAUCCCAGUGAGGAUCCUGACCUUGACCCUCAGGCCCCAUCUGGAUCAGACCCAGAUCUUAAAAGUCCAGAGAAGUAUUGGCUUAUCACGAGGAAACACAUUCAGAGGAGAGGAACUAUUGCUGUGGAACCUGUGGCAAGAUGAUCUUUACCGCUGUGUCUUUAAAAAAAACAUGACUCAUAAAGAAAAAAAGGACAUUUCAGCGAUG